rnacentral:rRNA from 1 species
AUUGAACGCUGGCGGCAUGCCUAACACAUGCAAGUCGAACGGUAGCACAGAGAGCUUGCUCUCGGGUGACGAGUGGCGGACGGGUGAGUAACGUCUGGGAAACUGCCCGAUGGAGGGGGAUAACUACUGGAAACGGUAGCUAAUACCGCAUAACGUCGCAAGACCAAAGUGGGGGACCUUCGGGCCUCACACCAUCGGAUGUGCCCAGAUGGGAUUAGCUAGUAGGUGGGGUAAUGGCUCACCUAGGCGACGAUCCCUAGCUGGUCUGAGAGGAUGACCAGCCACACUGGAACUGAGACACGGUCCAGACUCCUACGGGAGGCAGCAGUGGGGAAUAUUGCACAAGGGGCGCAAGCCUGAUGCAGCCAUGCCGCGUGUAUGAAGAAGGCCUUCGGGUUGUAAAGUACUUUCAGCGGGGAGGAAGGCGGUGAAGUUAAUAACUUCACCGAUUGACGUUACCCGCAGAAGAAGCACCGGCUAACUCCGUGCCAGCAGCCGCCGUAA